UUUACAACACGUGUCAAACUCAAGGCCCGCGGGCCAAAUCCGACCCCUCGAAGAUUUUGAUCCGGCCCGCAUGUCAACUAAGGUUCACAACACAUUUUGGCCCACCAAGUUUUAGUCACUUUUUCCGACAUUUUGGGCACUUUUUUCUAUGAUGGGUAAGGAACUUUUUUGGGACUUUAUGUGGACCAAAUUGUAAGUGAGAAGAAUAUGUGAGACAUGCAAUAAUACAGUCAAAGAUAUUUGACUUUUUUGAUAAAUAAAUAUAACCAUGUGAAUAAAUUCUAAAA